rnacentral:rRNA from 1 species
GUUAAGAAUCUUGCGCAAUGGGGGGAACCCUGACGCAGCGACGCCGCGUGGAUGAUGAAGGCCUUCGGGUUGUAAAGUCCGGUAAGCAGGGAAGAAUAAGUGUGGGGUAAUAUUCCACAUGAUGACGGUACCUACCUAAAGCCCCGGCUAACUACGUGCCAGCAGCCGCGGUAAUACGUAUGGGGCAAGCGUUGUUCGGAAUUAUUGGGCGUAAAGGGCGUCUAGGCGGGGGAUUAAGUUAGAUGUGAAAGCUAUGGGCUCAACCCAUAAAUUGCAUCUAAGACUGGUUCUCUUGAGUCCGGGAGAGGAGAGCGGAAUUCCAGGUGUAGCGGUGAAAUGCGUAGAUAUCUGGAAGAACACCAGUGGCGAAGGCGGCUCUCUGGCCUAGGACUGACGCUGAAGCGCGAAAGCGUGGGGAGCGAACAGGAUUAGAUACCCCAGUAGUCC